UUUCAAUUGUUGAGAUUAUUGAUUAUCCAUGUUGUUGGCUUAAUUAAAUUGAUACAAUUUGAUGACAAUCAGUCAAUUCUUGAGAUCGUAAAGUGGAUUAAUUAAGUAUCAUCAGCAUUAAUUAACCACUGGACAUUAAAGUUGUUGAUUUGUGAAUACAAUAGAUAAUCAAAGGUCAAAAUUGGACGAUAUUGGUUCACGUCGUCCCGCCAUCGACCUUGAUGAAGGUCUUAUAUUCCGCUGGAUUAAACAAUUAAGAGUAAUAACAAUUAAUCAUCUACUAUGAUUUGGUUAAAUUGUGUUCAUGGGGAAACAAUUAACCAGCAAUUAACUUACCAUGUACAUUGAAUCGGUUAAUUCAAUCCUAUUCUUAAGGUAACCAUUUUCAAAGACUGUUGAUUUUGAUCUGAA